rnacentral:rRNA from 1 species
GCAGCAGUGGGGAAUAUUGCACAAUGGGCGCAAGCCUGAUGCAGCCAUGCCGCGUGUGUGAAGAAGGCCUUCGGGUUGUAAAGCACUUUCAGCGAGGAGGAAGGUGGUGAGCUUAAUACGCUCAUCAAUUGACGUUACUCGCAGAAGAAGCACCGGCUAACUCCGUGCCAGCAGCCGCGGUAAU